ACCUUUUCUUUCCUUGUGUGUCUUCAGAAAUGUUCAAUACUUCUCCAUGGAGCUCCAAGGUGUCCACCAUACUGACUUUUCAGCAUGCUAUAGCUGUGCUGCGUUCUAACCUCUGGCCAGGAGCAUUUGCUUAUGCAUGUGGAAAGAAGUUUGAGAACAUUUAUAUUGGAUGGGGUCUGAAGUAUGUAGGGGAGGUGUACAGCCCACCCAUUCCCCCACCACCACUAAUGGAAUAUCAAAAUGGACCAGAAAUCACAGAGGGCCUGGACCCAACCCCAGAGGAAGAGCAAGCUUUGAAAGAAGAUUUAGAAGAGCAGCAAGCUGCCCUGGAGGAGGCAGAGGCGUCAGAAGACGAUGAAGAUGAAGAUUAAUAAAUAUGUAAU